UUUUAAUAGCUUAUAAUAGAGCAUAAUAUUGAAGAUAUUAAGGAAAAUAAUUUUUUUAAAAUAU
rnacentral:tRNA from 1 species